rnacentral:rRNA from 1 species
ACUGCUCAGUAACACGUGGCUAACCUGCCCUUGGGACAGGGAUAACCCCGGGAAACUGGGGCUAAUACUUGAUAGGUGAGAACUCCUGGAAUGGAUUCUCGCUGAAAGGGCGUCUAGAUCAUGCUUUUAGGCGUCGCCCAAGGAGGGGGCCGCGGCCGAUCAGGUUGUUGGUGAGGUAACGGCUCACCAAGCCUUUAACCGGUACGGGCCGUGAGAGCGGUAGCCCGGAGAUGGGUACUGAGACAAGGGCCCAGGCCCUACGGGGCGCAGCAGUCGCGAAAACUCACCAAUUCACGAAAGUGUGAGUGGGCCAUCCCGAGUGCCGUCCGCUGAGGAUGGCUUUUCCUUAGUGUACAAAGCUGGGGGAAUAAGGAGAGGGCAAGUCUGGUGUCAGCCGCCGCGGUAAUACCAGCUCUCCGAGUGGUGGGGAUGUUUAUUGGGCCUAAAGCAUUCGUAGCCUGCUGGACAAGUCCUCCGUUAAAUCCAACGAUUCAAUCGUUGGGCCGCGGGGGAUACUGUUCGGCUAGGGGGCGGAAGAGGUCGACGGUAUUCUCGGGGUAGGGGUGAAAUCCUAUAAUCCCGGGAGGACCACCAGUGGCGAAGGCUGUCGGCUAGAACGCGCCCGACGGUGAGGGAUGAAAGCUGGGGGAGCGAACCGGAUUAGAUACCCGGGUAGUCCCAGCCGUAAACGAUGCAGGCUAGGUGUUGGCGCGGCUACGUGCCGCUCUAGUGCCGCAGGGAAGCCGUUAAGCCUGCCGCCUGGGAAGUACGGCCGCAAGGCUGAAACUUAAAGGAAUUGGCGGGGGAGCACCACAAGGGGUGAAGCUUGCGGUUUAAUUGGAGUCAACGCCGGA